GCACAUGCGAAAAUAAUCAAUUUACAACAUAAAUUCCAAAAUUAACCAAAACCUGACCCUCGUGCCCAUGUCUUAAAAUUUGAUAAAAUUUUUAUCACUAUAUUCCUUAUCUCCCCACGGGUUCAUAUAUAUCAAAAGUUCCAAAAUUCGACCACAAAUAAUCUCUCAUAUCCUCAAGUCAAGGUUUCAAAUACUUGUCACACCUCUUUUUUACACACCCGAAGGGAGAUAUAAAGGAGUUUUUCCAAUUAAAGUGGCAUUAUUCAAAAUGGGAUUAUUUAUUUUCUUUUCAGAGUCGCCACUUGGGAUAUUUUAAUUAGUGUCCCAAGUCAUCGGUUUAUUUUUGAAUCCCAAAUUGAGGAAAUUCGGCUUUCCUUUUGAAGUCUGCAAACCAGCAAUUCUGAAUAAGGAAUUCUGUUAACCCGAGGGAAGGUGUUAGGCACCCCCGGAUUCCGUGGUUUCAAUUCUACGCCUCUUACUUCUUCUAAGUUUAUUUUCAUGCUCAUUAGAAGUAACAGUAGAAUAAGGCACAAUAUGAGAAUUAACAGACAUUGAUGUAGAAUCAUUGUCAUACCUCCUUUUUCCUACACCUGAAAGGGAUAUAAGGGAGUUUUUUCCAAUUUAAGUGACAUUAUUCGAAAUGUGAUUAAUUAUUCAAUUCAGAGUCGCCACUUGGGAUAGUUUAUUUGGUGUCCAAGUCACAAGUUUAUUUUAAAUCCCAUAUCGAGGAAAUUUCAACUUUCCUUUUGAAGUCUGUGAACCAUAAAUUCUGAAUAAGGAAUUAUGUUAACUCAAGGGAAGGUGUUAGGCACCUCCGGAUUCUGUAGUUCUAGCACGGUCUCUUGAACUAUCAUAAUUGCCCUAUUAUUUGAUUUUAAUAUAUGUUUUAGCCUAUGGUAUAACUUUAAAUUAUUAACCGCUUUUAAUUUAUUUUAUGAAGAUUCAAUAUCAUCUAAAAUACGUCUUUGGAUCACACCUUAAGAAAUACACUCGCGAUCCACGACACAUUCUAUUUAACGUUGUUGAGAUUUUGAUUUGGGUGACAUGAAAUGCACACCCGAGUUUAGGAAAAUAAUUUUAAAAUGGCACGUCUAAAGAAACUAUGCACAUUCAAAUUUUCGAGGGUCAUAAAAAAUUCAAUUAUAUGGAAUGCUUCGGUUUCUAAGGAUUAAAAUAUUAAUUAAGCGGGGGCAUGCAUUUCGAGAUUUUAUUUGGCAUGUCAAACCUCGAUUUCAAUUUUUUAAAGGAAAAUCUCAAACUAAACUUCGAGGGCCAUAGACUAAUCUUAUCCAAUAUGGCACACCUCAAAUUUAUCUAAUGGAAUCUAACUAAAUAACAUUAAAGGAAUUCGAAUUCUAUUAUUAGUACAAAUGUUUGAACUAAUUAAUGAAAAUUGCAUUUAAAGAGAGGGAGGUCCAAUU
rnacentral:lncRNA from 1 species